CGCUUCAACUCAGCCCCAAGGACAAGCUACCCUCCAACUCAGUCCCAAGGUCACGCUACCCUUCAACUCAGUCCCAAGGUCACGCAACGCUUCAACUCAGUCCAAAGGACACGCUACCCUCCAACUCAGUCCCCAAGACACGCUACCCUCCAACUCAGUCCCAAAGACACGCUACCCUCCAACUCAGUCCCAAAGACACGCUACCCUCCAACUCAGUCCCAAGGACACGCUACCCUCCAACUCAGUCCCAAGGACACGCUACCCUCCAACUCAGUCCCAAGGACACGCUACCCUCCAACUCAGUCCCAAGGACACGCUACCCUCCAACUCAGUCCCAAGGACAGGCAACCCUCCAACUCAGUCCCAAGGACACGCUACCCUCCAACUCAGUCCCAAGGACACGCUACCCUCCAACUCAGUCCCAAAGACACGCUACCCUCCAACUCAGUCCCAAGGACACGCUACCCUCCAACUCAGUCCCAAAGACACGCUACCCUCCAACUCAGUCCCAAAGACACGCUACCCUCCAACUCAGUCCCAAAGACACGCUACCCUCCAACUCAGUCCCAAAGACACGCUACCCUCCAACUCAGUCCCAAAGACACGCUACCCUCCAACUCAGUCCCAAAGACACGCUGCCCUCCAACUCAGUCCCAAGGACACGCUGCCCUCCAACUUAGUCCCAAGGACACGCUGCCCUCCAACUCAGUCCCAAGGACACGCUACCCUCCAACUCAGUCCCAAGGACACGCUACCCUCCAACUCAGUCCCAAGGACACGCUACCCUCCAACUCAGUCCCAAAGACACGCUACCCUCCAACUCAGUCCCAAGGACACGCUACCCUCCAACUCAGUCCCAAGGACACGCUACCCUCCAACUCAGUCCCAAGGACACGCUACCCUCCAACUCAGUCCCAAAGACACGCUACCCUCCAACUCAGUCCCAAGGACUUGCUACUCAACCCUACAACUCAGUCCCAAAGACACGCUACCCUCCAACUCAGUCCCAAAGACACGCUACCCUCCAACUCAGUCCCAAAGACACGCUACCCUCCAACUCAGUCCCAAAGACACGCUACCCUCCAACUCAGUCCCAAGGACACGCUGCCCUCCAACUCAGUCCCAAGGACACGCUACCCUCCAACUCAGUCCCAAGGACACGCUACCCUCCAACUCAGUCCCAAGGACACGCUACCCUCCAACUCAGUCCCAAGGACACGCUACCCUCCAACUCAGUCCCAAGGACACGCUACCCUCCAGCUCAGUCCCAAAGAAAAGCCUAGCAACGUUGCAGUUCUUGACACAAACCGGUGUGCUUGGCACCUACUACCAUUCUCUGCUCAAAGGCACUUAAAUCUUUUGUCCUGCCCAUUCCGCCCUCUGAAUGGCACCCACACACAAUCCAUGUCUCAAUUAUCUCAAGACUUAAAAAUCCUUCUUUAA
rnacentral:lncRNA from 1 species